AUCGGUGGAUAUUUAUCGAUGACCUUCAAUUCGUCGAUAAAUAUAAAUUAUUGACGGACUCUAUGAUUGCAUUUAUCGAUAAAUAUUUUCGUUAGUAAUAUGUUAGUAAAUUUCAUUAUCGGCAUAUUUGAGGUCGUCGGUGAGUUGUUUGAUGAAAUAGGCUAAAAAAUUGGGAUUUGUCUCCCCUAAAUUCAAUUCUUCGAAGCAGAACCUUAUUUCCUCCUUCUUCAUUCCAAAAAGCUCUACAAGUGGUCUCUGCAUUCUUCUCAAGCAAAGCUUUGGACUCAUUGUUCUUCCCAGGCAACAUCCAUUUCGUUCUUUUGUUGGUGGUCGCGAGGUGAGGCUGCGUGGUACGUUGACGCUGUGAGGAGGAUGUUGAUGUCAUCCCGAGAGGCUAGGUGAUGUGUUGAGGGAUCUUCCUUAAGGGUUCAUGCUGUGAUUGAGGGGUUUUCGUUGAAGGCUCUUGGUGGAUGGUCAUUAUUGAAUUUAUUAGCACUACCGUGGAGUAAGGAGGUUGUCGUUGAUGGAGGGUGUCAAGAAUCCCUACUAUGGAGUGCUACUGGAAAAUUGAUUCAUCUGGGUCCUGAGAGCUCCAUGGCUUGGACUAACAACAAAGAGUCAUUAGUGAGAUCAUAGUACCUAUCUGAUGAAGAUGACUCUUGGGGUUUGAACUUGGUUGUGUCAACUCUUUGUGAAGCUUUCUAUCUUUCUGCUAGUCCAUCACCUUCGAGCAUGUGAACCACUUCAGACAUUUUAGGCCUAUGCCUUGGAAGAUACUGAGUACAUAAGAGGGCCACUUGAACCAUUUCCUGAAGUUCAAUUCUGUCAUAGUUGUUCUUCAGAUCCUAGGACUUAGACUUACCAUUUGGUUUGAGAUAAAGGAAAGAGUUCUGAUGAAUAAAGGGAAACAAACUCACCCAUUGCUACUAUUAUCUUAAUUAAAAGUUUAAUUUUAGACAAGAACUGUAAAUUGAAUUGGGAUAGCAUAGUUUUGGUAUAAUAUUGAAAUCAAUUCUUCUCAGUUAUCAGUAUCACAUAUAUUGUAUCUAAGGAUUAUCUAUCUCUUUAUGAGCAUAGUCAAUUUGUUAUAGUUCAAUUGAUUUCCUACAAGUAUGUAAGCUACAUGUAAUCACACCCUAUCUUUUCAGUAUAUAUUUUAUUUUUCCGCUCAGACUCUUGCACAUCUUCUCUCAAAUUAUCUUAGUUCCUGCUAUGAAGCAGAAAAUGAGGUGUAGUGAGCUGCAAUAUGAACAACAGUCGAAAAAAUUAAAAUUUGAAAUAGUAUGUGUGCAAAUAUCAUUUAACAUAGUUGCAAAAAAUGUUAUAGAUAUCAUCAUUGUUCUUCCUAAGAUUUCUUCGAGCGAUAUAAAAGCUUUAUAUUCCCUCUUUUAUAGCCUUUCUCAAAUUAAAAUUUCAUUACCUUAAAUUACAACAACCAAUAUCCAAAAAAAGAGUAAUAAUGAUAAGAUCACUACAAGAAAAGUUGUUAUUACCGACGGUACAUUACCGAAGGCUUAAAGGCCUUCGGUAAGUGGUUAAUUACCGAAGGCCUAUGCCCCUCGGUAAGUGGUUCAGGUAUAUGAAAUAACAUUUGGGUUUUCCCUCCUGUAAUUGCAUUUCGCGAAAACACUUCUUCCCCAAAACAGCAGAGCUCUCAUUGCUAAUCUCACUCUGUACUACCCCUACCCUAACCCCAAUCGUGACCGGCGUUGUUCCCUAAUCCACCAUUGCAUACCGCCGUUCCCCAAUCUUCAGUGUACGGUUUCUUUUCAAACCCUUAUUCUCCAAUCCUCCAUUAUCGUUGCUCUUCAGUCGCGGUCCUCCAUGGUAGUCGCAUUGCGGGCUCGUGAGCAAUCUGGUGGUUCAGGUGAGCUAUUGUGGCGAGAGUAUUGGAGGUGGUUGCCUGACGACGGGGCUAUCGCCAUUAUCGCGAGACCAAGCGGCUGUCGGUGUGUGACGAGGGCAUCCAUUACCGUUGCGUGACUCCGUGCCUGCUGCUACGUGACUCCGCGCCUGCUGCUACGUGAGGAGGUGUUCCAUUAUCUCUAGGGAGGCUAUUGGAGGGGGCUGCCGUGGAGAAUGAUGCUUAGGAACAUCCUGCUAGAUAUCGAACCACUGUUGCUAUGUGAACACCUCUGUUAUUUCCCUAUUCACACUACAUAUUGUUGAGGCUUUUCCUUUCCCAUCCGUGAUAAUUUCCUUCACCUGAUAGAGAUUUCAGAUUCUCCUUAUUGCAGUGUACCUAUCUAGUGUUGAUGAUCUCUUUAGAGGCCUACUUGCAGGAAGAUCCUCCAUUACAUUGAAGAGCCUCGGUGAUCGAAGAAGUCAUUGAUUUAAAAGUCAUUUUCGCUUAAGCGAGAAUAAUUUAGCUUAAGCGAGAAUGACUAUCUUCUUCAAGAAGUUUAUUCUCGCUUAAGCGAGAAUAAUUUAGCUUAAGCGAGAAUUUGGGCAGUAUAUAUACUCACGAGGCAGAAAGAAAAAAGGGUCUUUGGUUCUUUGGAGGCGCGAUUUCACGUCUGGAGCUCAUGGAGGGCGCGAGGAGCUUGUGGGAACAUCUCCUCAUCUUUCUUUGGGUCUCCUUCUUCUUCCAUCUUCCAUGUUUGUAAGCUUUAGGGUUCUCCAUGGAAAUGGAGAACCAGAUUCAUCUUGUUAGGGUUAGAUGUAGCCUAUGAACUCUUGUGUAAUGAAUGAUUGUUUCGUAUUUAUAAAUGCCUUUUCUAUCUA